AGUGGCCCAACUAACGCUUUAAGUUCACCGCCUGGGGAGUACGGCCGCAAGGUUAAAACUCAAAGGAUUUGACGGAACCUCAAAGGAAUUGACGGAAUCUCUCCCGAAUGUAGGGCAAGUCAAUGGAAUUUACGGCAACCCCAAGCAGUUGAAUGAAUCUCAAAUGAAUGGCUGGGGCUUCACCAUAGUACGCUUUGGAAACUGUUUAUCUUGAGUGCAAGAGGGGAUAGUGGAAUUCCAUGUGUAGCGGUGAAAUGCGUAAAUGUAUGGAGGAACACCGGUGGCGAAAGCGGGUCUCUGGCUUGUAACUGACGCUGAGGCUCGAAAGCGUGGGGAGCAAACAGGAUUAGAUACCCUGGUAGUCCACGCCGUAAACGAUGAGUGCUAGGUGUUAGACCCUUUCCGGGGUUUAGUGCCGCAGCUAACGCAUUAAGCACUCCGCCUGGGGAGUACGACCGCAAGGUUAAACUCAAA
rnacentral:rRNA from 1 species